AACUACGGCAUUGUAACGGGCGCGAUGCUAGAGGGUCUACACGAAAAAUUAGUGGCCAAAUUUUUAAUUCUGAAGGACAUGAUGUACCCGCAAACGUGGCAAUCACAGAUUCUGUCGGUACACGUACGUUAUCAGUCACGCGGUUGCACCGAUAAAUGGCAAUAACACCUGCCGCAGAGAGCUCUUCCAGUGUUUCUGACGGACUCAGUCGAGAGUCCACACCACGCACUAUUCCCUUCGUGCAUGCCAUAUGAGGUGGAAUGAAAGCGUUCACCUUAAUGGAGCCAAACGAGGAACAUUUUAGUAGAUCUGCUACACAUGCCUCAUCUGGCGAUCUGCAGACGAUGCCUCCUCGUCCAAAUUGUCGAACGUCUGUGAUAUGCAGGUAGUGAUGAGUCACAGACUUAAGAUCCGCCUGAAUUGCUUGCGGGUUAUUGAUUCGAAUGGAGCCGCCAUUCAAAGGUACCAGCGCCACCGGAAUGCUGCUCACUCCACUACGAAAAAAGGCUUCUAGAGGCAUUUGAUUAGGAGGGACAGAAGCUGACCAGGGGCAGCGCCCCUGGCCAGGCGAGCUAUUCGUCAUGAGGACGAGCUGACUGUCUCAACCAAAACAGUACAGCCUU